rnacentral:sRNA from 1 species
CUUGGUCAUUUAGAGGAAGUAAAAGUCGUAACAAGGUUUCCGUAGGUGAACCUGCGGAAGGAUCAUUCAUAAUCAAGUGUUUUUAUGGCACUUUCAAAAAUCCAUAUCCACCUUGUGUGCAAUGUCAUCUCACUGGAGGUCAACGGCUGUAAAAAUCCGUUGGUCACCUUUGGGAUUUAUAUCUACUCAGAACUUUAGUGAUUUUGUCUGAAACAUAUUAUGAAUACUUAAUUCAAAAUACAACUUUCAACAACGGAUCUCUUGGCUCUCGCAUCGAUGAAGAACGCAGCGAAAUGCGAUACGUAAUGUGAAUUGCAGAAUUCAGUGAAUCAUCGAAUCUUUGAACGCAUAUUGCGCUCUCUGGUAUUCCGGAGAGCAUGCUUGUUUGAGUAUCAGUAAACACCUCAACUCCCCUUUCUUUUUUUUGAAAUGGGAGCUGGACUUGAGUGAUCCCAACGCUUUUCUCACCGAAAAGUGGCGGGUUACUUGAAAUGCAGGUGCAGCUGGACUUUUCUCUGAGCUAAAAGCAUAUCUAUUUAGUCUGCCUAAAAAACAGAUUAUUACCUUUGCUGCAGCUAACAUAAAGGAGAUUGGUUCUUGUGCUGACUGAUGCAGGAUUCACAGAGACAGCUUCGGCUGGCUUUGUAAACUCGAUCUCAAAUCAAGUAAGACUACCCGCUGAACUUAAGCAUAUCAAUAAGCGGAGGAAAAGAAACUAACAAGGAUUCCCCUAGUAACGGCGAGUGAAGCGGGAUGAGCUCAAAUUUAAAAUCUGGCUGGUUUACUAGUCCGAAUUGUAGUUUAAAGAAGCGUUUUCGGUGGCAGCCUGGGUAUAAAUCCUUUGGAACAGGGUAUCAUAGAGGGUGAGAAUCCCGUCUUUGACUCAGUGCAUGCUACUAUGUGAUACGUUUUCAAAGAGUCGAGUUGUUUGGGAAU